rnacentral:rRNA from 1 species
GGUAAUACCGGCAGCUCAAGUGGUCGUCGCUUUUAUUGGGCCUAAAACGUCCGUAGCCUGUUUGGUAAAUCUGUGGGUAAAUCAACCAGCUUAACUGGUUGAAUUCUGCAGAGACUGCCAGACUAGGGACCGGGAGAGGUGUGGGGUACUCUAGGGGUAGGGGUAAAAUCCUGUCAUCCUUAGAGGACCACCAGUUGCGAAGGCGCCACACUGGAACGGAUCCGACGGUCAGGGACGAAGCCUAGGGGCACGAACCGGAUUAGAUACCCGGGUAGUCCUAGGUGUAAACGCUGUGAACUUGGUGUCGGGAGUCCGCAAUGGGCCCCCGGUGCCGGAGUGAAGAUGUUAAGUUCACUGCCUGGGGAGUACGGUCGCAAGGCUGAAACUUAA